AGUGAACGCUGGCGGUAGGCCUAACACAUGCGAGUCGAACGGCAGCACAGUAAGAGCUUGCUCUUACGGGUGGCGAGUGGCGGACGGGUGAGGAAUACAUCGGAAUCUACUUUUUCGUGGGGGAUAACGUAGGGAAACUUACGCUAAUACCGCAUACGACCUACGGGUGAAAGCGGGGGAUCUUCGGACCUUGCGCGAUUGAAUGAGCCGAUGUCGGAUUAGCUAGUUGGCGGGGUAAAGGCCCACCAAGGCGACGAUCCGUAGCUGGUCUGAGAGGAUGAUCAGCCACACUGGAACUGAGACACGGUCCAGACUCCUACGGGAGGCAGCAGUGGGGAAUAUUGGACAAUGGGCGCAAGCCUGAUCCAGCCAUACCGCGUGGGUGAAGAAGGCCUUCGGGUUGUAAAGCCCUUUUGUUGGGAAAGAAAAGCAGCAGGUUAAUACCCCGCUGUUCUGACGGUACCCAAAGAAUAAGCACCGGCUAACUUCGUG
rnacentral:rRNA from 1 species